rnacentral:rRNA from 1 species
AACGAACGCUGGCGGCAUGCCUAACACAAGCAAGUCGAACGAGACCUUCGGGUCUAGUGGCGCACGGGUGCGUAACGCGUGGGAACCUGCCCUUAGGUUCGGAAUAACUCCCCGAAAGGGGUGCUAAUACCGGAUAAUGUCUUCGGACCAAAGAUUUAUCGCCUUUGGAUGGGCCCGCGUUGGAUUAGCUAGUUGGUAGGGUAAAAGCCUACCAAGGCGACGAUCCAUAGCUGGUCUGAGAGGAUGAUCAGCCACACUGGGACUGAGACACGGCCCAGACUCCUACGGGAGGCAGCAGUGGGGAAUAUUGGACAAUGGGCGAAAGCCUGAUCCAGCAAUGCCGCGUGAGUGAUGAAGGCCUUAGGGUUGUAAAGCUCUUUUACCCGGGAUGAUAAUGACAGUACCGGGAGAAUAAGCUCCGGCUAACUCCGUG